GAUGAACGCUGGCGGCGUGCUUAACACAUGCAAGUCGAACGGAAAGGCCACAGCUUGCUGUGGUACUCGAGUGGCGAACGGGUGAGUAACACGUGGGUGAUCUGCCCUGUACUUCGGGAUAAGCUUGGGAAACUGGGUCUAAUACCGGAUAGGAAUCACAUGUGGGUGUGUGGUUGGAAAGCUUUUGCGGUAUGGGAUGAGCUCGCGGCCUAUCAGCUUGUUGUUGGGGUAAUGGCCUACCAAGGCGUCGACGGGUAGCCGGCCUGAGAGGGUGUACGGCCACAUUGGGACUGAGAUACGGCCCAGACUCCUACGGGAGGCAGCAGUGGGGAAUAUUGCACAAUGGGCGCAAGCCUGAUGCAGCGACGCCGCGUGGGGGAUGACGGCCUUCGGGUUGUAAACUCCUUUCGUCAGGGACGAAGCGAAAGUGACGGUACCUGGAUAAGAAGCACCGGCUAACUACGUG
rnacentral:rRNA from 1 species